GCAGCAGCAAGCGCAGACAGAGCUCCAGAGGUCACAUUGAGUGGUUGACCUACACCAUCUAGGUGUGUGCAUUUGUCCUCUGUCGCUGGCUAACAUGAGUUUCUCAGAGCCUUUACCAUCAUUCAGUAAUGUGUGACUGGACAGUGUAGUCUAAACUACAAACAUACUUGAAGCUGGGGAGCAUAAAAGCUCCCCCACGGAGGCCUCUGCACACCACGGGGAGCAGUCUUUGGAGCAGGAUGCAUCAAGGAAAGGAGCAUAUCCUAGUGCAAGACAGCUCCCUGCAGCUGGAGGUGGUGCUGAGAGAAAGACUCAGCUGCUGUCCCCUGAUCAGCAUCCUCGGAACUCCACAGUGUUGGGGGAUCUGGAUGGCAUAUUGCAACACCCGCUCCACCAUGGCUAACAAAUCCUGAAUGCUGCCACACUUUAAGAGGUCAUGGAUGACCUCCUGAUCCUUCUGCCUGUCACUUACAGUAUGACAAUUAAAACAGAGCACAGAAUACAAAAACA